CCUACGGGAGGCAGCAGUGGGGGAUAUUGCACAAUGGGGGAAACCCUGAUGCAGCGACGCCGCGUGAGCGAUGAAGUUUUUCGGUAUGUAAAGCUCUAUCAGCAGGGAAGAAAAUUACCGUACCUGACUAAGAAGCCCCUGCUAACUACGUCCCAGCAGCCGCGGUAAUACGUAGGGCGCACGCGUUCUCCGGAUUUACUGGGUGUAAAGGGAGCGUAGACGGCAGUGCAUGUCUGAAGUGAAAGGCAAGGGCUCAACCUUUGGACUGCUUUGGAAACUGUGCUGCUGGAGUGUCGGAGAGGCAAGUGGAAUUCCUGGUGUAGGGGUGAAAUGCGUAGAUAUUAGGAGGAACACCAGUGGCGAAGGCGACUUGCUGGACGAUGACUGACGUUGAGGAGCGAAAGCGUGGGGAGCAAACAGGAUUAGAUACCCCAGUAGUC
rnacentral:rRNA from 1 species